rnacentral:rRNA from 1 species
CACGUAGGGGGCGAGCGUUGUCCGGAUUUAUUGGGCGUAAAGAGCUCGUAGGCGGUUCACUAAGUCGGGUGUGAAACCUCCAGGCUCAACCUGGAGACGCCACCUGAUACUGGUGUGACUAGAGUCCGGUAGGGGAGUGUGGAACUCCUGGUGUAACGGUGAAAUGCGCAGAUAUCAGGAAGAACACCAGCGGCGAAGGCGGCACUCUGGGCCGGUACUGACGCUGAGGAGCGAAAGCGUGGGUAGCAAACAGG